rnacentral:rRNA from 1 species
UGCUUAACCAUGCAAGUCGAACGAUGAAGCCCUUCGGGGUGGAUUAGUGGCGAACGGGUGAGUAACACGUGGGCAAUCUGCCCUGCACUCUGGGACAAGCCCUGGAAACGGGGUCUAAUACCGGAUAUGACCGUCCAUCGCAUGGUGGAUGGUGUAAAGCUCCGGCGGUGCAGGAUGAGCCCGCGGCCUAUCAGCUAGUUGGUGAGGUAGUGGCUCACCAAGGCGACGACGGGUAGCCGGCCUGAGAGGGCGACCGGCCACACUGGGACUGAGACACGGCCCAGACUCCUACGGGAGGCAGCAGUGGGGAAUAUUGCACAAUGGGCGAAAGCCUGAUGCAGCGACGCCGCGUGAGGGAUGACGGCCUUCGGGUUGUAAACCUCUUUCAGCAGGGAAGAAGCGAAAGUGACGGUACCUGCAGAAGAAGCGCCGGCUAACUACGUGCCAGCAGCCGCGGUAAUACGUAGGGCGCAAGCGUUGUCCGGAAUUAUUGGGCGUAAAGAGCUCGUAGGCGGCUUGUCACGUCGGUUGUGAAAGCCCGGGGCUUAACCCCGGGUCUGCAGUCGAUACGGGCAGGCUAGAGUUCGGUAGGGGAGAUCGGAAUUCCUGGUGUAGCGGUGAAAUGCGCAGAUAUCAGGAGGAACACCGGUGGCGAAGGCGGAUCUCUGGGCCGAUACUGACGCUGAGGAGCGAAAGCGUGGGGAGCGAACAGGAUUAGAUACCCUGGUAGUCCACGCCGUAAACGGUGGGCACUAGGUGUGGGCAACAUUCCACGUUGUCCGUGCCGCAGCUA